rnacentral:rRNA from 1 species
UGGGGAAUAUUGCACAAUGGGCGAAAGCCUGAUGCAGCAACGCCGCGUGAGUGAUGAAGGUCUUCGGAUUGUAAAGCUCUGUCUUUUGGGACGAUAAUGACGGUACCAAAGGAGGAAGCCACGGCUAACUACGUGCCAGCAGCCGCGGUAAUACGUAGGUGGCGAGCGUUGUCCGGAUUUACUGGGCGUAAAGGGUGCGUAGGCGGAUGUUUAAGUGAGAUGUGAAAUACCCGGGCUUAACUUGGGUGCUGCAUUUCAAACUGGAUAUCUAGAGUGCAGGAGAGGAGAAUGGAAUUCCUAGUGUAGCGGUGAAAUGCGUAGAGAUUAGGAAGAACACCAGUGGCGAAGGCGAUUCUCUGGACUGUAACUGACGCUGAGGCACGAAA